rnacentral:rRNA from 1 species
CCUACGGGAGGCUGCAGUGAGGAAUAUUGGUCAAUGGGCGCAAGUCUGAACCAGCCAAGCAGCGUGAAGGAUGACUGCCCUACGGGUUGUAAACUUCUUUUAUAAAGGAAUAAAGUGAGGCACGUGUGCCUGUUUGUAUGUACUUUAUGAAUAAGGAUCGGCUAACUCCGUGCCAGCAGCCGCGGUAAUACGGAGGAUUCAAGCGUUAUCCGGAUUUAUUGGGUUUAAAGGGAGCGUAGAUGGGUUGUUAAGUUAGUUGUGAAAGUUUGGGGCUCAACCGUAGAAUUGCAAUUGAUACUGUCAGUCUUGAGUAUAGUUGAGGUAGGCGGAAUGUGUGGUGUAGCGGUGAAAUGCUUAGAGAUCACGCAGAACUCCGAUUGCGAAGGCAGCUUACUAAACUACCACUGACGUUGAGGCACGAAAGUGUGGGUAGCAAACAGGAUUAGAUACCCGAGUAGUC